GUGAAUAACUUGUUUUUAACACCGUCACCUUGUUUAGGUGAAGCUGUGACCACAUGAAGAUUACAUGGGUCUUCAUCCUUAUGCUUGAAACAUGUGAAAACCUAUGGCUUUUGCAGGUCUAGGCACAAAGAAAGGAGCAAGAUAAAAUUAAGGAAAAAAAUCUUUGGUAAUUAAAAAAAUGUUUGGAAUAUAUUAAA